CUGCCACGAACCAGCUGAGGACAACAUUUUUGAAUAUAGAGUAACCGAAGAGAGUCAAAAGGAUCGUCUCACAACCAAUACUCAUGAAGCAUGUCUCCCAAUUCAUGAAAACUGCAGGGUGUUAACAGCUCAUGGGUCAAAUAGGAUCGUGUAUGUAAUAGAUGAUCAUGUUGA